CACGUAGGCACCGAGCGUUGUCCGGAUUUAUUGGGCGUAAAGAGCUCGUAGGCGGUUGAGUAAGUCGGGUGUGAAAACUCUGGGCUUAACCCAGAGCCGCCACUCGAUACUGCUCUGACUUGAGUUCGGUAGGGGAGCAGGGAAUUCCUAGUGUAGCGGUGAAAUGCGCAGAUAUUAGGAGGAACACCGGUGGCGAAGGCGCUGACUCUGG
rnacentral:rRNA from 1 species